rnacentral:lncRNA from 1 species
UAUUCAUGUGUUUUUAGAAUCAUGUGAAUUAACCUCCACUGAAGGCAUUAGACUCGGCAGACAGCAUGGGGUUCAACUUAAUAGGCGUAAGUCUAAAGCAACAUAGAUUUGCAAUACCCUUUUCUGACAAAUCGUGCUGGCUCAUCAUAGAGUUAAAGACUCAGGAGGCUCGUCAUCAGCCAAACUAAAAAGUGAUAGUAGUUCGGCCCAUGUAAACUGGGAAAAGGCCCUCACAUUCAAGAUCCAGCUCCAGACUGUUCACCUCAAACUGACUACUAGCUCCAGACUGUUCACCUCAAACUAACUACUGUUGCAAGGUCUCAGACAAGAAAAUAUGUGAGCUAUUGGACACAGAACACCACCACCGAUGAUCAACUGCUGACCAAAUGGAUAAGAUUUCGAUCUCUACCAACUCUUAUAAAUCUUAAUAAAUCCCUGUUGAAUGGCAUGGAUACUGUGCCAACCCCAAGUGUUGAAAACGCCUUUAUACAAUGAAAGGUAUUGGCAGAACUGCUGUUAUUGCCUACAUACAAACUGUAGGGUUUAGCAGAGCCAGAUUAGAACUCUUGACAGAUAUAUACACUACUAAUCGAAUCCAAGCCAACCAAAAUGGCCUUACAGUGGUGCACCUGAUGAAACUAGUUUGUGAGCAUCAAACUGAACUGCAAUUUACUUGACUCUUGAAGCUUAUUUGAGGUGAACCUAAGGUUCUACUGUCUGCAGCACCGUUUGUUUUACAUUCAAAUGGCCCAUCAGAUCAACUACAGAACUAAACAUUAAAGCUCAACUAGAAUGGUAUCAACCAACACGAGUAUAUUUCUCACUAAGAUAGCUCGUCGUCCCUUCUAACAGAAGGCUCAAAUACUUUGCUAAAUUCUGCAGUUACAGAACAACCUCGAGGAUUAUAGGCCGCAAAACGAUGCAAAUGUUGGGGCCAAGAAGAAACAGCAAACGGGCUAGGAACUCUCAUGUAGGUAACCAUUUGAAAAGAGCUCUUGUGCAUACAGCUCUCGUCGAAAUCCUAACCUUCUUUGAACCUCGGACAGAAAAUGGAAUGUGUAAGACCAACAUAACAGAAACUCAGAAGGAAUAAUGGGAGCUAAGGGAACAUGUACCUGUGCCCAUCUUCUGAAAAAGAUCCACAACACAUACAAAUCCUUCAGUCUAUACUGAAACUUGUGAGAUGAACCCCAAAUACUGAAACUUGUGAGAUGAACCCCAAAUGACAGUUCUGUAUCAAACAACUGCAACCUUCUACUGCCACGUGAAAUCUUCUUCCAGCAGAAUAAUCACCAUUUUCCAGACCAGUUCUGCCUCUAGCUCAUACUUCUUUAGAAGCUCACAUGCUAACAGGUUAAUUUGCCUCACAGAAGCAUUUGUGAGAAUUAAAGAUGACUAAGACAACAAAUCAUGUGGGGUGUAUAAAUAUAUGUUCAACCUGAUAUCACUAAGUCAAUUUUUUUGGGUGCGCCUUGACAGUCAUUGGACUGAAGCACCCAAAGGAAACAAAACCAAAGGUUUCCCACUUGGAAUAUGUUUUAUUCUAUAACCUAUUUGUCCCUUCAACAUUUACUGUAUGAAUUAUACUCGGUCAGAUAAACUUGCAUAUAUUACCAUGUGAUUCAGUACUUCCAUGACACUGAUAGGGAAUCAUGCUUUUCACCAUGUCUCUUUUAAUACUUUUGGCAAACCUGAUGUGGCAUUACUUAA